GACGAACGCUGGCGGCGUGCCUAAUACAUGCAAGUUGAGCGCUGAAGGUUGGUACUUGUACCAACUGGAUGAGCAGCGAACGGGUGAGUAACGCGUGGGGAAUCUGCCUUUGAGCGGGGGACAACAUUUGGAAACGAAUGCUAAUACCGCAUAAAAACUUUAAACACAAGUUUUAAGUUUGAAAGAUGCAAUUGCAUCACUCAAAGAUGAUCCCGCGUUGUAUUAGCUAGUUGGUGAGGUAAAGGCUCACCAAGGCGAUGAUACAUAGCCGACCUGAGAGGGUGAUCGGCCACAUUGGGACUGAGACACGGCCCAAACUCCUACGGGAGGCAGCAGUAGGGAAUCUUCGGCAAUGGACGAAAGUCUGACCGAGCAACGCCGCGUGAGUGAAGAAGGUUUUCGGAUCGUAAAACUCUGUUGGUAGAGAAGAACGUUGGUGAGAGUGGAAAGCUCAUCAAGUGACGGUAACUACCCGGAAAGGGACGGCUAACUACGUG
rnacentral:rRNA from 1 species